rnacentral:rRNA from 1 species
UACGGAGGAUCCAAGCGUUAUCCGGGUUUAUUGGGUUUAAAGGGUGCGUAGGCGGCUUAUUAAGUCAGGGGUGAAAGACGGUGGCUCAACCAUCGCAGUGCCCUUGAUACUGAUGAGCUUGAAUACACUUGAGGUAGGCGGAAUGUGACAAGUAGCGGUGAAAUGCAUAGAUAUGUCACAGAACACCAAUUGCGAAGGCAGCUUACUAAGGUGCAAUUGACGCUGAGGCACGAAAGCGUGGGGAUCAAACAGG